AUUGAACGCUGGCGGCAGGCCUAACACAUGCAAGUCGAGCGAGCGGCGGACGGGUGAGUAAUGUCUGGGAAACUGCCUGCUGGAGGGGGAUAACUACUGGAAACGGUAGCUAAUACCGCAUACCCUCAGAUGUGCCCAGAUGGGAUUAGCUAGUAGGUGGGGUAACGGCUCACCUAGGCGACGAUCCCUCGCUGGUCUGAGAGGAUGACCAGCAACACUGGAACGGAGACACGGUCCAGACUCCUACGGGAGGCAGCAGUGGGGAAUAGUGGACAAUGGGCGAAAGCCUGAUGCAGCCAUGCCGCGUGUGUGAAGAAGGCCUUCGGGUUGUAAAGUACUUUAAGCGGGGAGGCGUUACCCGCAGAAGAAGCACCGGCUAACUCCGUGCCAGCAGCCGCGGUAAUUC
rnacentral:rRNA from 1 species